rnacentral:rRNA from 1 species
AUUGAACGCUGGCGGCAGGCCUAACACAUGCAAGUCGAACGGUAACAGGAAGAAGCUUGCUUCUUUGCUGACGAGUGGCGGACGGGUGAGUAAUGUCUGGGAAACUGCCUGAUGGAGGGGGAUAACUACUGGAAACGGUAGCUAAUACCGCAUAACGUCGCAAGACCAAAGAGGGGGACCUUCGGGCCUCUCGCCAUCGGAUGUGCCCAGAUGGGAUUAGCUAGUAGGUGGGGUAACGGCUCACCUAGGCGACGAUCCCUAGCUGGUCUGAGAGGAUGACCAGCCACACUGGAACUGAGACACGGUCCAGACUCCUACGGGAGGCAGCAGUGGGGAAUAUUGCACAAUGGGCGCAAGCCUGAUGCAGCCAUGCCGCGUGUAUGAAGAAGGCCUUCGGGUUGUAAAGUACUUUCAGCGGGGAGGAAGGGAGUAAAGUUAAUACCUUUGCUCAUUGACGUUACCCGCAGAAGAAGCACCGGCUAACUCCGUG